rnacentral:rRNA from 1 species
UCGGGCGUUCCCCUUCGGGGGGACAGGGUGACAGGUGGUGCAUGGUUGUCGUCAGCUCGUGUCGUGAGAUGUUGGGUUAAGUCCCGCAACGAGCGCAACCCUCGACCUUAGUUGCCAGCAUUCAGUUGGGCACUCUAAGGUGACUGCCGGCUAAAAGUCGGAGGAAGGUGGGGAUGACGUCAAAUCAUCAUGCCCCUUAUGACCUGGGCUACACACGUGCUACAAUGGGCGGUACAAAGGGUCGCGAACCCGCGAGGGGGAGCCAAUCCCAAAAAGCCGCUCUCAGUUCGGAUUGCAGGCUGCAACUCGCCUGCAUGAAGCCGGAAUCGCUAGUAAUCGCGGAUCAGCAUGCCGCGGUGAAUACGUUCCCGGGCCUU